rnacentral:tRNA from 1 species
GCGGAUAUGGUGGUAAAAUUUCUCUUUGCCAAGGAGAAGAUGCGGGUUCGAUUCCCGCUAUCCGCC